CUGCUAAGUCGAAUACGACGUAUAGGGGGUGACACCUGCCCGGUGCCGGAAGGUUAAAGCGAGGGCUCAAUCCCGCAAGGGACGAAGGCCCGACCUGAAGCCCCGGUGAACGGCGGCCGUAACUAUAACGGUCCUAAGGUAGCGAAAUUCCUUGUCGGGUAAGUUCCGACCUGCACGAAUGGUGUAACGAUAGAGCGACUGUCUUGGCGAGUGACUCGGCGAAUUUGUGGUUCCGGUGAAGACGCCGGAUGCCCGCAUCUAGACGGAAAGACCCCGUGCACCUUUACUGCACUCUGGUCAUGAGUAACGGUAUGGUCUGCGUAGAAUAGGUGGGAGUCUUUGAUCCUCAGGUCUCGGCUUGAGGGGAGACAACAGUGAAA
rnacentral:rRNA from 1 species